AAUGACCUGAACAGGUGGAUGGCUGAUGGUGCCUGUGCAGUUAGUGGCAGUCCUCACCCCACAGUCAGUUCUCCUUCUGUACCCAGUUCCUCUGCACCAGUUGUGGUCAUUGGUGACAAAUGAGCCACACAGUCAUCUUUCUUCUUUAUCAGUAACAACCUGGCAAAGAUCUCCUUGCAGAAUCAUCUUGGGGGCAGCUGGGGUAUUAUCAAUUUCCGUAUCCCUGGACCUGGCUUUCUAGGUGGGCUAUGAUAUCAGGACAUGGGAAAGUUGAGAGGCUCUCAGAUCUAAGUUGUGCCUCUGAAGGAUCUGUUGUUAGCAGACAAUUAAUACAGGAGCUCAGAGAUCUCCAAAAUAAUGAAUCAAUCUCUCUCUCUCUCUCUCCACUCCCCCCUCAACUUAUGCGAUACCAGACAUCCAGCCCAAAUCCUCUAAUAGUUGUACUUGGGAAACUGAAGGACUUUCCAGGGCCCCAGGAAUCCUUACUAACUUGUUUUAUUGAAAAAGAGUCUGUGGUUUCAAGCCUGCAGAGCUGUGGCUUAGCAUUCUUGGAGAAGAUCACAGAAAGUUAAGACUAUGAAAGCAUCCAGAAACUGUAAGAUGUUGUAUACACAAUGGGAAAAUUAGCCUGUGAGUUUCCCAGUACCAUGAGGCAUUCCUGAAUAGGGGAAGGGAAAAUGUUUUGUUUUCCCUUCUCCAGUGAGUACUAUGCUGAAGACAGCGAUGUUGUGAAGGACAAACUCCCAAAUGCAACUCAAGAAGUUUUCACAUACAGCUCAAGUGGAAGAAAUCAGUGGCUUGAUGUCCACAAAAGAGCGGAGAGGUGACAACAACUGAACGAUUGUUCUUCAGAACUCAUGCUUGUAGCAGAGGAGUUAAAAUAAUGAUCUCUGGCAAUCUCUUGGAAAGAUGGUAUCAAGUUAGAAGCUCUGGCAAUCUGCAUUGCUUGGUAAAGGCUGGAACUCACAGGCAGAAGCAUUGGCAGGCUCCAUGAAUGCCCAGUGCAAAGUGGUCUGUGCCAGGGCAGACCUGAACAUGCUGCGGAGUUAUACUCUAGAACAGGGGUCCCCCACUCCCACGCCACUGACUGGUCCCAGGCCAUGUCCUAUUAGGAACCGGGCCAUACAGCAAGUAAGCAGCGGGCAAGCAACGGAAGCUUCACCUGUAUUUAUAGCCACUCCCUAUCACUCGCACUACCACCGGAGCUCCAUCUCCUGUCAGAUCCAAGGUGGCAUUAGAUUCUCAUAGGAGUGUGACCCCCUAUUGUGAACUGUGCCUUUGAAGGAUCAAGGUUGCAUGCUCCUUAUGGAAAUCUAAUGCCUGAUAAUCUGUUACUGUCUUCGAUCAACCCUGGAUGGGACCAUCUAAUUGCAGGAAAACAAGCUCAGG
rnacentral:lncRNA from 1 species